rnacentral:rRNA from 1 species
UACGAAGGGUGCAAGCGUUACUCGGAAUUACUGGGCGUAAAGCGUGCGUAGGUGGUUCGUUAAGUCUGAUGAGAAAGCCCUGGGCUCAACCUGGGAAUGGCAUUGGAUACUGGCGACCUAGAGUGCGGUAGAGGGGUGUGGAAUUCCCGGUGUAGCAGUGAAAUGCGUAGAUAUCGGGAGGAACAUCUGUGGCGAAGGCGACACCCUGGACCAGCACUGACACUGAGGCACGAAAGCGUGGGGAGCAAACAGG